rnacentral:rRNA from 1 species
GGUGAGUAACACGUGAGUAACCUGCCCUUGACUCUGGGAUAAGCGUUGGAAACGACGUCUAAUACCGGAUACGAGCUUCCACCGCAUGGUGAGUUGCUGGAAAGAAUUUUGGUCAAGGAUGGACUCGCGGCCUAUCAGCUUGUUGGUGAGGUAACGGCUCACCAAGGCGACGACGGGUAGCCGGCCUGAGAGGGUGACCGGCCACACUGGGACUGAGACACGGCCCAGACUCCUACGGGAGGCAGCAGUGGGGAAUAUUGCACAAUGGGCGAAAGCCUGAUGCAGCAACGCCGCGUGAGGGACGACGGCCUUCGGGUUGUAAACCUCUUUUAGCAGGGAAGAAGCGAAAGUGACGGUACCUGCAGAAAAAGCACCGGCUAACUACGUGCCAGCAGCCGCGGUAAUACGUAGGGUGCAAGCGUUGUCCGGAAUUAUUGGGCGUAAAGAGCUCGUAGGCGGUUUGUCGCGUCUGCUGUGAAAUCCCGAGGCUCAACCUCGGGUCUGCAGUGGGUACGGGCAGACUAGAGUGCGGUAGGGGAGAUUGGAAUUCCUGGUGUAGCGGUGGAAUGCGCAGAUAUCAGGAGGAACACCGAUGGCGAAGGCAGAUCUCUGGGCCGCUACUGACGCUGAGGAGCGAAAGGGUGGGGAGCAAACAGGCUUAGAUACCCUGGUAGUCCACCCCGUAAACGUUGGGCGCUAGAUGUGGGGACCAUUCCACGGUUUCCGUGUCG